AAACUUGAGAGUUUGAUCCUGGCUCAGAACGAACGCUGGCGGCAGGCUUAACACAUGCAAGUCGAGCGCCC
rnacentral:rRNA from 1 species